AUUGAACGCUGGCGGCAUGCCUUACACAUGCAAGUCGAACGGUAACAGGUCUUCGGAUGCUGACGAGUGGCGAACGGGUGAGUAAUACAUCGGAACGUGCCCAGACGUGGGGGAUAACGAGGCGAAAGCUUUGCUAAUACCGCAUACGAUCUAAGGAUGAAAGCAGGGGACCGCAAGGCCUUGCGCGUUUGGAGCGGCCGAUGGCAGAUUAGGUAGUUGGUGGGAUAAAAGCUUACCAAGCCGACGAUCUGUAGCUGGUCUGAGAGGACGACCAGCCACACUGGGACUGAGACACGGCCCAGACUCCUACGGGAGGCAGCAGUGGGGAAUUUUGGACAAUGGGCGAAAGCCUGAUCCAGCAAUGCCGCGUGCAGGAUGAAGGCCUUCGGGUUGUAAACUGCUUUUGUACGGAACGAAAAGGCUCUGGCUAAUACCUGGGGCACAUGACGGUACCGUAAGAAUAAGCACCGGCUAACUACGUGCCAGCAGCCGCGGUAAUACGUAGGGUGCGAGCGUUAAUCGGAAUUACUGGGCGUAAAGCGUGCGCAGGCGGUUUCGUAAGACAGAGGUGAAAUCCCCGGGCUCAACCUGGGAACUGCCUUUGUGACUGCAAAGCUGGAGUGCGGCAGAGGGGGAUGGAAUUCCGCGUGUAGCAGUGAAAUGCGUAGAUAUGCGGAGGAACACCGAUGGCGAAGGCAAUCCCCUGGGCCUGCACUGACGCUCAUGCACGAAAGCGUGGGGAGCAAACAGG
rnacentral:rRNA from 1 species